rnacentral:tRNA from 1 species
AAGCAAGAAGCAAUUUUUGCACUUAGUUUCGACCUAAAAGUAUGGUGACUACCCACCCUUGCUUA